UUUGAUUCAGAUAGCCAUGCACGCCUAAGUACAAACUAAAUGAUGGUGAAACUGCAAAUGGCUCAUUACAACGGUUAUGAUGUACCCGGGAGUUCCGAUGGAUAUUUCCAGUAACACUAGAACUAAUACAUGUCCCUGCGUUUAUUAGUUUCGCACAGUCCGUCGCUGAGUCAUGGUAAACAGUUGAUCGACUCGACGUCCCGGAACAGUUUCCGCCCCAUCAGCUUCGAUGGUUGGGUAUUGGCCUACCAUUGCAACAACGGGUAACGAGGAAUUAGGGUUUGAUUUCGGAGAGGGAGCCUGAGAAACGGCUACCACAUCUACGGAUGGCAGCAGGCGCGCAAAUUACCCAAUGCAGACACUGUGAGGUAGUGACGAGAAAUAAUAAAGCGGGACUUCUGUUUCGCUAUUAUAAUGAGGAAUAACCAAAGGUCAUUCCGAUUAGCAACUGAUGGGAAAGUCUGGUGCCAGCAGCCGCGGUAAUACCAGCGUCAGUAGCA
rnacentral:rRNA from 1 species